rnacentral:rRNA from 1 species
AGUUGAUUAUGGCUCAGGAUGAAUGCUAGCGACAGGCCUAACACAUGCAAGUCGAGGGGCAGCACAAGGAGCAAUCUGAGGUGGCGACCGGCGCACGGGUGAGUAACACGUAUGCAACCUGCCUGUAAGCGGGGAAUAACCCGUUGAAAGACGGACUAAUACCGCAUAAUACUAAAUUACUGCAUGGUAAUUUAUUUAAACAUUUAUGGCUUACAGAUGGGCAUGCGCAUGAUUAGCUAGUUGGAGAGGUAACGGCUCCCCAAGGCAACGAUCAUUAGGGGUUCUGAGAGGAAGGUCCCCCACACUGGUACUGAGACACGGACCAGACUCCUACGGGAGGCAGCAGUGAGGAGUAUUGGUCAAUGGACGAGAGUCUGAACCAGCCAAGUCGCGUGCAGGAAGAAUGUCCUAUGGAUUGUAAACUGCUUUUGCAGGGGAAUAAAGUGCGGGACGUGUCCCUUUUUGUAUGUACCUUAUGAAUAAGGAUCGGCUAACUCCGUGCCAGCCGCCGC